rnacentral:rRNA from 1 species
AACGAACGCUGGCGGCAGGCUUAACACAUGCAAGUCGAGCGCCCCGCAAGGGGAGCGGCAGACGGGUGAGUAACGCGUGGGAACGUACCUUUUGCUACGGAAUAGCUCUGGGAAACUGGAAUUAAUACCGUAUGUGCCCUUCGGGGGAAAGAUUUAUCGGCAAAAGAUCGGCCCGCGUUGGAUUAGCUAGUUGGUGGGGUAAAGGCCUACCAAGGCGACGAUCCAUAGCUGGUCUGAGAGGAUGAUCAGCCACAUUGGGACUGAGACACGGCCCAAACUCCUACGGGAGGCAGCAGUGGGGAAUAUUGGACAAUGGGCGCAAGCCUGAUCCAGCCAUGCCGCGUGAGUGAUGAAGGUCUUAGGAUUGUAAAGCUCUUUCAACGGUGAAGAUAAUGACGGUAACCGUAGAAGAAGCCCCGGCUAACUUCGUGCCAGCCGCCGCCGUAACAC